rnacentral:rRNA from 1 species
AAAGCAGGUCUUAGUGAUCCGGUGGUUCUGAAUGGAAGGGCCAUCGCUCAACGGAUAAAAGGUACUCCGGGGAUAACAGGCUGAUACCGCCCAAGAGUUCAUAUCGACGGCGGUGUUUGGCACCUCGAUGUCGGCUCAUCACAUCCUGGGGCUGAAGUAGGUCCCAAGGGUAUGGCUGUUCGCCAUUUAAAGUGGUACGCGAGCUGGGUUUAGAACGUCGUGAGACAGUUCGGUCCCUAUCUGCCGUGGGCG